GGCUUUCUGACUUGGUUGUAACUAUUUGGAAGAAAAGGAAAAGUGUGGAUCCCCAAAGGAAGGAAGCAGCCCAUUUAAAAUGCAGCCACAGAAGGUUUUUGUGCAGCUUUUGUAAUCCCUGGAGACUCUGUAUCUAACUGCAUCAGGCAGAAAGUUUCUCCCCUUCAUCCCUGAAGCUCAGCAGCAACGUUGUUCCAAGCACCUGGAAGGAACAAGAGCUCACAAUGCCUGUGGUACUCCCCCCUGGAAUCUGAAGGGAAGGAGCACACUGACAACUGUGAUUUAAAAAAAAAAAAUUAAAAAUAAGCAGACAAAGCUCAAAAAGGAGGCACGGAAGACGUUUCCAAACAAUGUAAAAACCAGGAUUUUCCUUUUGAAUGUGACAUUUUAGUCCUCAAAGGACUCUCAUCUGUGCACUUGGGACUGUGCUCACAAGACAGAACUCCUUGGAAGCAGCCACAGAUUCAGAGGUGGUGAAUUUGGGAUGUCCUAUUUGAUACAAAUGUCUUGGAUUGCCAGAUGACACACUGACUUUGUAAAAACCUCCCCAAGACAGCUAUUUCAAAUGGAGAAAUCUUAACAAACACCUCGCCUGAAAAUACUGACUUACCGAUAGAAUUGUCCCUUGCAGGACAAAUAUUCCUGAUUCCAAUAUGCCCUAUUCCACUGAAUUUUCCUCCCAUUGGAAACAGCACCAAUUUUUCCCAGCAGAUAAUCCUGACAGCUCAGAGGGUGACCUGGCCAUGGCCCACUUUGCUGACGCACCAUCACAAAAUCCCUUGCCAUUGCCCACCUGCUGUAAAUGACACCAAAGGUAGAGCUGAGACAACAGUUUACUACAAAAUGUGACUGCAGGCCCAUUUCUCUUCAUUAAUCUCAUGUUAAACAUAACCUAUUACAGGGUUUCCAUUUAAGGAACAGAUGGUAAAUACAAGUUAAUGCAGAUACAGAUUAAAAAAUAUUGGCAACAGCUAAUGCAUUUACUCAAAGCACAAAGCCAGUAAGUGCGAAAUGUUCUUUAAAACUAUGCUUAAAUCAUGGAAAAUUAAAUCCUUUGAUAGGUUUGUUUUAAAAUUUCUUCAGUUACACAGUAUUUCAGUGAAGUUACAGGGCAAAGGGCACCCAAGAUCUCUGCCUAUAAAACUUCAAGAUCCACUCCAUUAAGUAUUUUGAAAUUUCUUUGUAUUCUAUAUUUUUCCUGAGCUACAGUAUCAGACAAAUGCAUUGCUUGAGCAGGGGAGCCAAGAGUUGGAUCACAAGAAUGGAAGCUGAGGUGCCUGGGCUUUUCCAGAGGGAGGAAGUGCUGGUUCAAGAAUAGCACAGCAAUUGUUUGCCUAGGAAAAACCCCAAAGAAUUCAGCUUCCACACGACAAAAGUGCAAACUGUGCUGUGUGAAGGAAGGUAUUCCUCACACUGCAGCUGCACAUCUGGACAAAACCUGCAUCAAAAUCCUUUCUCCUUCACCCUGCUGAUCCCUGCUGAAUGGCCAUUUCCAUGGCACUUCCCAAGGAAGAUCAACCAAAGCUCUUUUCCUUCCUGCUUGCUGCUUUCCCAUGCAGGUGGAUGGGGCU